UGGGGAAUAUUGCACAAUGGGGGAAACCCUGAUGCAGCAACGCCGCGUGAGUGACGAAGGUCUUCGGAUUGUAAAGCUCUGUCUUUGGGGACGAUAAUGACGGUACCCAAGGAGGAAGCCACGGCUAACUACGUGCCAGCAGCCGCGGUAAUACGUAGGUGGCAAGCGUUGUCCGGAAUUAUUGGGCGUAAAGGGUGCGUAGGCGGUUUUUUAAGUGGGAUGUGAAAUACCUGGGCUUAACUCAGGAACUGCAUUCCAAACUGGAAGACUAGAGUGCAGGAGAGGAAAGUGGAAUUCCCAGUGUAGCGGUGAAAUGCGUAGAGAUUGGGAGGAACACCAGUGGCGAAGGCGACUUUCUGGACUGUAACUGACGCUGAGGCACGAAAGCGUGGGGAGCAAA
rnacentral:rRNA from 1 species